rnacentral:rRNA from 1 species
GCCAAUAAUCUAGCCCACAUAUAAUAUCCGCAUCGACCGCUCAUAUACCCACAUAAUAAAACAUUUUAACAUUUUAGUAAAGGUGAUUGAAAAAAUUCCAGGCGCUUUAGAUCUAGUACCACAAGGGAAAAAUGAAAUAGAAAUGAAAUAAUAAUUAAGCCUAUAAUAAUAGAGCCUCAACUCGUACCUUUUGCAUCAUGGUCAAGCAAGUAUAAUCAAGCAAAUAGCAAGCUUUAGUUUGACACCCCGAAACUGAGUGAGCUACUUCAAAACAGUUUAAGACAAACCCGUCCCUGUUGCAAAAGGGUGGGAAGAUUUUUAAGUAGCGGUGAAAAGCCUAUCGAACUCAGAAAUAGCUGGUUAUUCAAGAAAAGAAUUUUAGUUCUGCCUUAAGCUUAUGUAUGCACUCAAACAAACUAUUAAGCUUAAGAGUUAUUCAAAUAAGGCACAGCUUAUUUGAAAAAGGACACAACCUUCAAUACAGGGUAAUAAUAAAUUACACUGCAAGUGGGCCUGAGAGCAGCCACCUCUAAAAAAGCGUCAAAGCUUAGCAACCCUAUAAACCAGUAAACCUAAUACCCAAAACAACCGCAAACCCUUAACCGCUAUUGAAUAAUCCCAUAUUCAUAUGGAAAAUAUUAUGCUCGAACUAGUAACAAGAAAAGACAUUCUCCUAAAUAUAAGCAUAAGCCUCCCGGACUAACCACUGGCAAUUAACGUAUGAAAAUAUUAUAGUAACACACCUAGAAAACCCUAUACCCCCUAACGUUAACCUUACACUAGAAUAUUAUAGGAAAGAUCAAAAGGGAGAGAAGGAACUCGGCAAAUUUUAGCCCCGCCUGUUUACCAAAAACAUCGCCUCUUGUUAAAAUAUAAGAGGUCCAGCCUGCCCGGUGACCCAUUCAACGGCCACGGUACCCUAACCGUGCGAAGGUAGCAUAAUAACUUGUUCUUUAAAUGCGGACUUGUAUCAACGGCACCACGAGGGCCAUACUGUCUCCUCACCCCCAUCAGUGAAACUAACCUCCCCGUGAAGAGGCGGGGAUUUAACUAUAAGACGAAAAGACCCUAUGGAGCUUUAAACCCAGCAAGCACUCAUCAAUAUAUACCCACAUUUAUAAACCUGCCUCCUGGUUUUAGGUUGGGGCGACCACGGAGUAAAAAAUAACCUCCGCGCCGAAUGGCUAACCCCUAAUUAAAGAGCUACUACUCUAAAAAUCAGAAUACUGACGCAACUGACCCGAAAAGAUCAACGAACCAAGUUACCCUAGGGAUAACAGCGCAAUUCAUCUUAAAAGCCCAUAUUGAAAGAUGAGCUUACGACCUCGAUGUUGGAUCAGGGUAUCCAAGUGGUGCAGCCGCUACUAAUGGUUCGUUUGUUCAACGAUUAAAACC